GCUGGAGUGGCGAAACUGGCAGCACGCUUGGGUCUUAAAAACCCAUGGUAGAGAUACCAUACGGGUUCGACUCCCGUCUCCAGCACCA
rnacentral:tRNA from 1 species